UACAAAGGGGGCUAGCGUUGUUCGGAAUCACUGGGCGUAAAGGGUGCGUAGGCGGGUUUUUAAGUCAGGGGUGAAAUCCUGGAGCUCAACUCCAGAACUGCCUUUGAUACUGAGGAUCUUGAGUCCGGGAGAGGUGAGUGGAACUGCGAGUGUAGAGGUGAAAUUCGUAGAUAUUCGCAAGAACACCAGUGGCGAAGGCGGCUCACUGGCCCGAUACUGACGCUGAGGCACGAAAGCGUGGGGAGCAAACAGG
rnacentral:rRNA from 1 species